rnacentral:pre_miRNA from 1 species
GUGUGUGGAUGGUGAUCAGUACCAGGGACAUUUAUGUUUGACUAUGUGUUGAUGGUGUUCAGCACCAAGAAUAGGUGUGUUUACAU